rnacentral:rRNA from 1 species
AUUGAACGCUGGCGGCAGGCCUAACACAUGCAAGUCGAACGAGUGGCGGACGUGUGUGUAAUGUCGGGGAACCUGCCUGAUGGAGGGGGAUAACUACUGGAAACGGUAGCUAAUACCGCAUACCAUCAGAUGUGCCUAGAUGGGAUUAGCUUGUUGGUGGGGUAACGGCUCACCAAGGCGACGCGCCGUAACUGGUCUGAGAGGAUGAUCAGUAACACUGGAACGGAGAAACGGUCCAGACUCCUACGGGAGGCAGCAGUGGGGAAUAUUGGACAAUGGGCGAAAGCCUGAUGCAGCCAUGCCGCGUGUGUGAAGAAGGUCUUCGGAUUGUAAAGCACUUUAAGUUGGGAGGCGUUACCAACAGAAGAAGCACCGGCUAACUUCGUGCCAGCAGCCGCGGUAAUAC